GAACCUUCUAAGGAGCAGCAUCGCGCAUCUGUAAAGGCUAAAUGAAUGGUUCAGAGACAAAAUUGAUCAUGAUCUGAUUGGCAGAGAGUACCGUUCUACAGUAAAGCAAAGUUCUAAAAUCUGCCACCUCUUACUGGUUUCCAAGGUCUGGUACUGUCUCUGGAGGGAUCACAGAAAUGAUGAAGUAGUGAUGAUUAAUUUAUCCC
rnacentral:lncRNA from 1 species